rnacentral:rRNA from 1 species
GAUGAACGCUAGCUACAGGCUUAACACAUGCAAGUCGAGGGACCGGCACACGGGUGAGUAACACGUACCCAACCUGCCCUUUACUCGGGGAUAGCCUUUCGAAAGACAGAUUAAUACCCGAUAUAAAGGAUCGGGAUGCGUUCCAUUAGGUUGUUGGUGAGGUCACGGCUCACAACGCCUUCGAUCGUUAGGGGUUCUAGAGGAAGGUCCCCCACAUUGGAAAUGAGACCAGGUCCAAACACCAGCGAGAGGAGAAAGUUAGGAAGAUUGGGCAAUGGGCGCUAGUCUGAAACAGCCAAGUAGCGUGGAGGAUGAAGGAUUAUGGGUCGUAAAUUUUCUGUAUAUAAGAAUAUGUGCUAUAUGAAUAAGGAUCGGCUAACUACGUGCCAGACGCCGCGGUAAUUC